rnacentral:rRNA from 1 species
AUUGAACGCUGGCGGCAUGCCUUACACAUGCAAGUCGAACGGCAACGGGGGUUCGGGUGCUCACGGGUGGCGAAGGGGUGAGUGAUAGAUCGGAACGUGCGAGAUCGCGGGGGCUAGGGGGGCAACAGCUGUGCUCAUACCGCAUACGCGCUGCGGAUGUAAGCCGGGGAGCGCAAGGUCUUACGAGGCCGCAGCGGCCGAUGGCGGGUUAGGUAGUUGGUGGGUUAGCGGCCGACCAAGCCGACGAUCUGUAGCUGGUCUGAGGGGAUGAGCAGCCACACUGGGACUGAGACACGGCCCAGACUCCUACGGGAGGCAGCAGUGGGGAAUGUUGGACAAUGGGCGCAAGCCUGAUCCAGCCAUGCCGCGUGCGUGAAGAAGGCCUUCGGGUUGUAAAGUGCUUUUGUUCGGAACGAAAAGACUUAGGUUAAUACAGGAGGAGCAUGACGGUACCGUAAGAAUAAGCACCGGCUAACUACGUG